GGGGCGUAAACCGGAACCUGGCAGCGGGUUCCGCCCUCGCGCCGGGGAGGAGUCCCGGAGCCGAGCUGGAGCUGGAGCACCUCUCACACCCUCCUCGCCCUCCCCACCGACAUCAUGCUCCAGUUCCUGCUUGGAUUUACUUUGGGCAACGUGGUUGGAAUGUAUCUGGCUCAGAACUAUGAAAUGCCAAACCUGGCUAAAAAACUUGAAGAGAUUAAGAAGGACCUGGAAGCCAAGAAGAAGCCCCCUAGUUCCUGAUGCCUGCCUGGCACUGCAAUCUGGACCCACCAGUUCCAUCCUGGGGGGCCUGUCUCCUUCACAGCCACGUCCAAAGCUGUGUUCCUCUUUGGUCUCAGACCCUGCGCGUUGCUGAGGCUCCAGCACGGGCCAGAAGUGGAGUUAGCUUUCCGUUUCCAGCAUCUCCCCGUUCCCGUAUCUUCCGUCCACCUGCUUCUGAGACCUAAGCCUGGAACCAUGGUGCUAGGUUAGCAGCCGCAACCAUGACAGGACUCACUCGCCUGUGCUCUGGGAUUCCUACCGCCUACUGUCAAGAAAUGAAUGGAUUUGGAUAGCUGCUGGGGACUCACUGUCUAGCAGUGAUAACAGGAGCUUGCUAGACAAACUAAACUGUGUUAAAGUCAUUAAAGUCAGUAUCUUCAAGCCAGUUUCUGGUGAAUUAAUCCAUUUAUUAUAUAUUGUUACCAAGGAGCUCCAUGGUUGAUGAUUUAACCAGUAAAUCAUUUGCUGGUCAUUAACCAGGAAACUAUUUUAUGCAUUCUAUAAAAAGCAAACAAACUGGGAAAACUUAAAACAUGCAAAGUAACUGUUGUCUUCGUACAGUUCAGUCUAUGCAGUCUAUGUUUUUCCUUAAUGAUAUAUUUGAACUGAAUCUGCCGUAAAAGAGCCAUUCUUUAUGCUGGCACUUGAUAGGAUGGGUGGAUAAAUGAGGAGCUGUUGAUAAAAUAAUGUUACUUUUUUUUUUUUAAACAUUAAAAUGUAUCCUAAUUAUAUAACUUCAUAGUGAACCCCCUAAGAGAAGUGUGGUGCAAAUGUGUGGUAAAGUGAGUCUCUCUGGGAUCUGGGAUCUGAUGCUUCCCCCACCCCCGCCCCCCACCCCCACCCCCACCCACCCCCCGCCCCCGGUUGAGGCAUCCUCCCCGGAAGCAGGACGGACCAUCAGGCGUCAGCAACUUCAUUUUUUUUAAAGACAGUCUCCCAGUGUUACCCAGGGUGGUCUCAAGCUCCUGGGCUCAAGUAAUCCUCCUGCCUCAGCUUCCGGGUGCUGGGACCACAGGUGUGCACCAUGGUGUCCAGCCUAGUCCGUAAUGUUUUUAAUUAAAAAAUAUUUAAAAAUUAUUCCCACAGGAGAUGAUAGGAAAGUGAUUUCACAUGAAGACUCUUUCUAGCCUCUGUCUUAUUCCCAGGUACAAUUCCUCAGGCAAUCCCUGGUGUCAGGUUCCUGUGUGCCUUUGAGAAGGAGUGUCUAACCACAUAAGUGUUUUCGUCUUUUGUUACAUACAUACAUACAUACAUACAUACAUACAUACAUACAUACACACACACAGUAUGUAUGUAUUGUGUGUGUGUGUGUACACAUAUGCUUUUUGUCUCUUCCUAUCACUUUUGUUUUUGCACAGAGUCAUGACGCCCACGCUUUUACAGUCAGUGAUAACAUUGAAUUUCUGACCCUCCUGCCUCUGCCUCUCAGGUGCAGGGAUCGUAGGUGUGCACUGCCAUGCCCAACUGUGCUUUUUAAAGCUCUUUUUCUUUUCUUUCAUUUGCUUGUUUUUUUGAGAUAGGGUAGCCCCAGCUGGCCUGGAACUCACUCUGUAGACCAGGCUGGCUUCAUACUCCCAGAGAUCCGUCUGCCCUUUGCCUCCUGAGUGCUGGGAUUGAAGGUGGCUCCAUCAUGCUUGGCUUGCUUCUUUAUUCUUAAUGGAGAGCAUCCCCCUUCCGUCAGUACGUUAACCUUCCCCCUUUGUUUACUGUGCGCGGUUCCACUGAAUGGGUGUUUCAUAAUUGAAUGUGCUACUGCUGAGUGCUUAGGCUGGUCUUCUGCUGGUGUGGUGCUAGCACUGAACCUGAUGCCCAUAUCUGCCCAGAGUAGAGCUAUAGGAUAACGACUCACAGUCUAGUUUGCUAAGACACGGUGUGUCUCGUUUCAGAGGGCUUAUUGGGCAACUUCCCUGACAAUGAAUGCCUUUUUUGAAGACCACAGGUUGCAAAGAUAAGUUAGGGACAUCUGUCUGUUUUCGGGAAGUGAGGACAGUGACCCCAUAUGGGAAUCAGAACAUGGCAUUGCUCCUUAGAGAUACAUUCCAUCCCUGUCAAGGUCAUCUCUGUAUACGAGACAGAGGUUGGCUUCUCCCUAGCAGUGGGGAGUGGGGAGUGGUGUGUUCUUCUGAGACUCUGUAACAUCUACCUCAUGAGGGUUUCCUGGGAAACAGUGAGAUGAUGUUCUGUGCUCUGUUAGACUGUGCUUUGCAAACUGUCCAAUAAAUAGUAGCUACCCAUUGGAAAA
rnacentral:lncRNA from 1 species